AAUAAGUGUAUUUUCUUUAUUGUUAUGUUUAACGUUUGAUCGUCUGUCUUAUUUAAAUAAAUUAAUAAUUAAUAUUUUUAAUUAUUAGAUGAUAAAAUAUGAAUAAUACUUUAUGUAUGACUAUUUUUUAAUUUUUUUUCAUAAUUUUUUCAAAUAAGACGGAUGAUCAAACGUUGGACAAGCAAAUCGACAAACACAAUUAUA
rnacentral:pre_miRNA from 1 species